rnacentral:rRNA from 1 species
UAAUGUAUGGGGAGCUGCCCGAUAGAGGGGGAUAACUACUGGAAACGGUGGCUAAUACCGCAUAAUGUCUACGGACCAAAGCAGGGGCUCUUCGGACCUUGCACUAUCGGAUGAACCCAUAUGGGAUUAGCUAGUAGGUGGGGUAAAGGCUCACCUAGGCGACGAUCUCUAGCUGGUCUGAGAGGAUGAUCAGCCACACUGGGACUGAGACACGGCCCAG